UGCAAUGUCCUGUUUCGGGAUCCUGUCUACUCCUGAUCAUUUCAGCAGCCACAGUGCUGGCACAAGUGAUGAAGUAAGGGGAGUAUUCGAAGCAAAGCACCUAAGCCUAAUUUACGGAUGAAAUCUUCUUACGGCAUUGAGCUGUGGCUGAUAGAAACAGGUGUGGAGCUCUAUUUGCUGAUGUUUAACCUGCUGGAGGCUUCCCCCUUCACCUGUGCUCAGUGUGCCAGCUCCAUGCCAAUGGGACCUUUAGCACUUGUGGAAGGGUGGCUUUCAAGGUCUUGAAGUAAAUCAAGGUGCAGCCACUUCCUUUGUCAACAUCAUCUUUUUGAGCCACCUUUUCCCCAGCUUUCUUCAUUGCAAGCCAGGGAAGCCAGUAAUUAGUCCAGUAAUGUGGAGACAUUGUUACUGCAGCUCAUUAAAUUUGGCAAUGCUCACUUGGACCUUUGAGCGCUGGUGAUGUCAAGUUGACCUGAAAUGCAAGGAUUCCAUCUGUCGGGAAUUACUGAUG